AGGGCACCACCAGGAGUGGAGCCUGCGGCUUAAUUUGACUCAACACGGGGAAACUCACCCGGCCCGGACACUGGAAGGAUUGACAGAUUGAGAGCUCUUUCUUGAUUCAGUGGGKGGKGGUGCAUGGCCGUUCUUAGUUGGUGGAGUGAUUUGUCUGGUUAAUUCCGAUAACGAACGAGACUCUAGCCUACUAAAUAGAUCGUCGGCUUACAAACGCCGGCGAGACUUCUUAGAGGGACAGGCGGUGAUUCAACCGCACGAAACARAGCAAUAACAGGUCUGUGAUGCCCUUAGAUGUCCGGGGCCGCACGCGCGCUACACUGAAGUGAUCAGCGUGCUUUUUCAACCUACUCUGUCAAGAGUGGGGAACCCAAUGAACCUUCUUCGUGAUUGGGAUAGGGGAUUGUAAUUGUUCCCUUUGAACGAGGAAUUCCCAGUAAGCGCGAGUCAUAAGCUCGCGUUGAUUACGUCCCUGCCCUUUGUACACACCGCCCGUCGCUACUACCGAUUGAAUGUUUU
rnacentral:rRNA from 1 species